rnacentral:tRNA from 1 species
GUUUCCGUAGUGUAGCGGUUAUCACGUCUGCGUCACCCGCAGAAGGUCCCCGGUUCGAUCCCGGGCGGGAACA